AUCCUCCAGGUUCCUUUACCCCUCAUAUCUAAACAAUGAUCUGAGGGGCUAAAAAGGGAGGAAGAGUAAAACUAAACUGGGUUUGGAGUCGUUGAUGACAUGCAAGUUCCUUUCAAACAGAA
rnacentral:snoRNA from 1 species